CCUACGGUGGGCAGCAGUGAGGAAUAUUUGUCAAUGGCCGGAAGGCUGAACCAGCCAAGCCGCGUGAAUGACGAAGGUGCCAAGCAUUUUAAACUUCUUUUGUCAAGGGACAAAAUCAUGCUCGAGAGCCUUACCGAGGGUACUUGAAGUAAAAGCAUCGGCUAACUCCGUGCCAGCAGCCGCGGUACUACGGGGGAUGCGAUAGUUAUCCGGCUUUAUUGGGUUUAACGGGUACGUAGGCGGGCUGGUAAGUUAGCGGUAAAAGCCCGGGGCUAAACCCCGGCGAGCCGUUGAGACUGGCUGUCUUGAGAUGUCGAGAGGUAUGCGGAAUGCGCAGUGUAGCGGUGAAAUGCUUAGAUAUUGCGCAGAAGUCCGAUUGCGAAGGCAGCAUACCGGCGGCGAUCUGACGCUGAGGCACGAAAGCGUGGGUAUCGAACAGGAUUAGAUACCCUUGUAGUC
rnacentral:rRNA from 1 species